UAGCAAUUGUUCAGCAGGAGGAAGAUCAAACUCAUGAGCAGGGGGUUCUUCCUCAUUUUCAUUAACUUCUCUUGCUCUGGAUAAAUAAUCGGACAAGAACGACGCAAUUCGACGAGAUAUAUCUCUACCAAAGACUUGUGACUCGCUUAAAUAUGUAUCAGGAGGUAGAGGAUCAAAGGAUAAAAUAGUUCCUUGCAAGAUUCUCUGUGGUAGAAAUUUUCUCAAGCUUUGCUCAUUUAACAGGAUAACACGCCUAGAGAGAUUUUCAGUGAGUUCUGCGAAUUGUCCUUCUACAUCGUGCAGGGUCACGGUUUCUUUUUCAAGAAUGGAAUUAAUGAAUGCUAAUACCGUAGGAUCAGACCAGCUAUCCUUAGCAUAUAAAGCAUACAUAGCAGAAUGUAACUCUUGAACUGGAUCUUGAGGGGAUGGAAUAGAGGAUUUUGUGAAAGAGAUAUUCAAAGUGUCCAACAAUUCACUUAGCAUGUAAGGUGCACGUUCAAAGGCGGCAAGCAUACUCGCUCGUGU